rnacentral:misc_RNA from 1 species
AUAGCAGUCCAUGAGACCAGUAACUAGAGGGAACUUUACCAGGGAGGCAAGUCACGACUGAGAGCUUGCUAAAGGAAAACCUAGCCAAUUCACUCAACUAAAGGACAAUAAAGUAAGGUCUGGAUAUCCAGAUGAAACGGAUGGUACCGCGUGUCAACGCUCCGAUA